UACAGAGGGUGCAAGCGUUGUUCGGAAUUAUUGGGCGUAAAGCGCGUGUAGGCGGCAUGGCAAGUCGGGUGUGAAAGCCCUCAGCUUAACUGAGGAAGUGCGCCCGAAACUGCUUUGCUUGAGUGCCGGAGAGGAUGGCGGAAUUCCCCAAGUAGAGGUGAAAUUCGUAGAUAUGGGGAGGAACACCGGUGGCGAAGGCGGCCAUCUGGACGGUAACUGACGCUGAGACGCGAAAGCGUGGGUAGCAAACAGG
rnacentral:ncRNA from 2 species